rnacentral:rRNA from 1 species
GUCUAUGGACAUGCCACCCUGAACACGCCGGAUCCCCUUUGAUCUCGGAAGCUAAGCAGGGUCGGGGCUGGUUAGUACUUGGAUGGGAGACCACCUAGGAAGACCAGGCGCUGUAGGCA